GAUGAACGCUGGCGGCGUGCCUAAUACAUGCAAGUCGAGCGAACGGACGAGAAGCUUGCUUUUCUGAUGUUAGCGGAGGACGGGUGAGUAACACGUGGAUAACCUACCUAUAAGACUGGGAUAACUUCGGGAAACCGGAGCUAAUACCGGAUAAUAUUUUGAACCGCAUGGUUCAAAAGUGAAAGACGGUCUUGCUGUCACUUAUAGAUGGAUCCGCGCUGCAUUAGCUAGUUGGUAAGGUAACGGCUUACCAAGGCAACGAUGCAUAGCCGACCUGAGAGGGUGAUCGGCCACACUGGAACUGAGACACGGUCCAGACUCCUACGGGAGGCAGCAGUAGGGAAUCUUCCGCAAUGGGCGAAAGCCUGACGGAGCAACGCCGCGUGAGUGAUGAAGGUCUUCGGAUCGUAAAACUCUGUUAUUAGGGAAGAACAUAUGUGUAAGUAACUGUGCACAUCUUGACGGUACCUAAUCAGAAAGCCACGGCUAACUACGUG
rnacentral:rRNA from 1 species